rnacentral:tRNA from 1 species
GGUGCUGUGGCAUAGCGGGUAAAGCUUCUGCCUGCAGUGCUGGCAGUGCUGGUUCAAGUCCCGGCUGCUCCA